rnacentral:miRNA from 1 species
UAGGGUGACCAGCCAUCCUGGAUUGUCCAAGACUUUACAGAUUUUAGCAUAAGAUGUUCCUUGUUUCAGGAAACCCCUCAAUCCUGGGCAAACUGGGAUGGUUGUCCUCCUACGGGUUA